GGGAGGGUGGCCGAGCGGACGAAGGCGACGGUCUUGAAAACCGUUGGCGGGGCGACCCGCCCGUGGGUUCGAAUCCCACCCCUCCCGCCC
rnacentral:tRNA from 1 species